GUGGGGAAUCUUGCACAAUGGAGGAAACUCUGAUGCAGCGACGCCGCGUGAGCGAUGAAGCCCUUCGGGGUGUAAAGCUCUUUCGACGGGAAAGAUCAUGACGGUACCCGGAGAAGAAGCUGCGGCUAACUACGUGCCAGCAGCCGCGGUAAUACGUAGGCAGCGAGCGUUGUUCGGAAUUACUGGGCGUAAAGAGUGUGUAGGCGGUGUUCCAAGUCUGGUGUGAAAUCUCCCGGCUUAACUGGGAGGGUGCGCCGGAAACUGGAAUGCUCGAGGGUGGGAGAGGUAAGCGGAAUUCCUGGUGUAGCGGUGAAAUGCGUAGAUAUCAGGAGGAACACCUGUGGUGUAGACAGCUUACUGGACCACUUCUGACGCUGAGACACGAAAGCGUGGGUAGCAAACAGGAUUAGAAACCCGUGUAGUCC
rnacentral:rRNA from 1 species